AACCAACUCUAUAAUAAUACAUUCCUUUGUUGCACAAGUUGUUGAAAUAAAACCAAUGACAUAAUAUACGUAAUCGUUAGCAAAUACAGUAAUAACUGAAUGUACUGUUAAAACAAUAGCAAUUUACUAAUGUGUACAGCCAGCGCGGCACCAUACCGCACAAGUGCACUCUUGACUAGGUUGAUCACAACGCGCGACAGGCAAGAACCAGCUAGCUUGUCAGUUCAAGGCCUGGAAAAUGGCUGCAGGAUCUGGCGCGUCAAGCGGCCACGGUCGUGGUUCGCCUGCGGCCCUAGAGUCAACUUUGGAUCGACGGUUUCAAGGAGUGACGAACACAAUGGAAUCAAUUCAAGGACUAUCAAAUUGGUGUAUCGAGAACAAGAAAUACCACAGUCUUAUCGUGCGUUACUGGAUGAAAUGGUUGAGGAAAUCUGAGGCUUCUCACCGUCUCAAUUUGUUCUACCUCGCCAACGAUGUCAUUCAGAACUGUAAGAGGAAAAAUGCCAUCGUCUACCGUACUGCCUUCGCCGACGUGCUCCCUGAGGCCUUCCAGCUGGUCAAUAAUGUGGGAGACUCUAAGGUGAUGAAGUCAGUGGACAGGAUAUUAUCCAUCUGGGAGGAGAGGAGUGUGUACACAGAGGAGCUCAUAGCUGAGCUGAGGGCCAGUCUGGUCAAAGAGGAGUCACCUGCUGCUUUAGAAACACCUAAAGCUCCAGUCAACUCUAAAGCUGCUCUUCAAUCUAAGAUUGUAGCUGAAUUUGUCCCCCAGGCAUUCAUCGAUCAUCUUUCUAAGUACCACAGCUCUGUGGAGGAAGUGGAGCUAAAGGAGAAACAGCUAGCAGCCAUGAGGGUGGACGUCUGCAGCAGCGAGGACCUCAAGAGACUGAAAGAUAAGGCAGGGGGGAAGAGGCACUCCAAGGACUUUGAGGAUGGCAGUGCGAAGCUAAAGGAGUUUGUGGCCUUCCUUGACCGGCAGAUCAAAGGAGGGUCCCCUCUGUUGAAUGCUCUUGGCAACGCAGACAUUUUCUACGAGAUGCAGUAUAAGGAGGUCAAGAUAGUCGCCAAUGCGUACAAGACGUUUGCCAACCGGGUGUCCCACCUCAAGCGUAAGCUGGACAGCCUCAAGGCCACCUUACCAGACCUGGACGAGUCGCCCCUCCCCUCGCCCUCGAUGGAUGCCCCGUCCCCCAAUGGCUCAGAGUCCCCCUUCCGUGGCCUGGCCGACCCAGAAUCUGACUUGGAUGGCCUGGCCAUGGAUGAUGAGGCGGAAAUCACUCUGGGGGAAGCACCCAGCCCCCUGUCCUCCCCUGGUGGCUCCCCAAAGCAGGGCUUCACUGUCGGGGAGUUAGACAACCGCGAUGUGGAGGACAUGGAGCUCUCGGAUGAGGAGGAGGCAGAGAGCGUCGGUAUCAUAGUUGAGGAGCGAGUUGAAAGUCCCGUCCCAUCUCCAGACCCCAUUCCUGUGCCUGUUGUCACACAGCUGCCGCUGGCCACAGAGGCAAAGCCUGUCCCACAGGCCACACCCUCCCCAGCUCUCAUGAUCCCAGUGACCCCUACAACCAACCUAUCAGGCAACCUCGCCAAUGUAGACCUGGGUAAAAUUAGCUCUAUCCUCAGCAGCAUCACCUCUGUCAUGAAGAAACCAGGAGUGAGUCCAGGUGCUUCUUUGGUCUGCCCCUCCUCUCCAGCCAAGACCACCCCUCCUGCCCCAGUAGCCCCCCAGGUAGCCAGCCCUCUGGCCAGCGUCCUGUCCAGAGUGGACAUGACUCCCGAGGCGCUCCUCAGUGCACUGUCCAAAACCCAGGAGCAGGCCAGUGGGCGACAUGUUCUCUCCACUCUUGUGAACAGCCCAACGGGAAACUUCUCCUCAUACUCCCCCAGUACAGGCAAGCUCCCUCCCUCCGCCUCCACCCCUACAGUACCCUCUCGAGGCCUUCCUCUCACCUCCUCUACGCUCCAACCAACCCCAUCAGCCCCUACAGUGGGGAAUACCACCACCGUCCUUCAGGCAGCGUCCCUUACCCAGCCCACACAGCCUCUAGACAUCGGCCCUCACAGAGGGCUGGUCCUUGAGCAAGGGAAGGAAGAAAACCCCUCAGCUUCCAGCCUGGAGUCCAAGAUCCACAGCUUCCUGCAGGUUAACCCUGGCUUUAAUGCCUUUAACCUGGGCUUGACUAGCGAGACCAUGCAAGCGGGAGGCAGCGACAUCAGCCCCUUAGCGGGUACAGAGACCCAAGUGGGCACCCCGGUGCGGGAUGAGGCCGGAGGAGGCACCCCCACCCUGGAUGAGUUCUUGGACACUCCAGGAGGAGCAGAGCCCUUCCUGGCCAAGCAAGGUCAGGUCUCUUCUGGGGGAGUUCCUAAACAACCAGAUGGCAGCCUGUCUCAGUCUCCAACUGCCUACCACAACCAAGCCUGGCAGGAUCCCAACAACCCUCAUGUCCACUUAGGACCACAACCAGGUGCUCCGAAUGGGCAGGGGUACCACCAGUUGCCUUAUGGAGGGAAGGAAGAGAUGCAUGGAAUAGGUCCUUCCCUCAGAGAGUCUGGGUUGGCCCAUUACCAGCCCAUCACGACACAGGUGUCAGCCCCAACCCUCGGGGAGGGGUUACCCAGUAACACACCAGGAGGGGCUCAGGCAGGGCCAAACCCCAGUGUGAGUGAAGGAGGAUGGUAUGGUAAUCCCUACCCAGAGGGACAGGCCCUGCAUCCUAACAACCACAACAUGGCUGCAUCAGGGGCAGGAGAUGGCAAAACCCCCAUGUCAGGACGGUAUGCAUACCAGGGGGAGGGGCAGACACAGCCCUACCAAACAAAGGAUCCUCAAACUCUGCUUUCCCAACAGGGGGCCAACCCCUCAAGCUUCCUCACCAGCCCUCUGCCCCCCAUUCCCCAGCUGCCUCCACCGCCCUUCCCUGGAAUACCAGCCCCACCUGCGUCUGUCAUUGUGCGAGGGGUGAUGGUGCCUGUGGCGCAACCCUCACCAAACCUUGAGAUGGAGGAUGACAGGGCGGGCGUCAGUGCAUUGGGCGGUCCAGUGAUUAUCAGUGAUCACCAGCACAAAUCUGCUUUCUACCCUGAGGGCCAACCCUAUCACCCAGAUGACCUUCAUCGCCAUGCCGAUGACCCCCGUCAUCACCUUGACGAUUUCCGUUGUCACCCCAACGAUCUACGCCGUCAGCCUGACGACCUGCAUCACCUUGACAACUUCCGUCAGCACCCCCACGACCUCCAUCGUCACCCAGACGAUCGCUAUUAUCACCCAGACGAUUUCCACCAUCUACCUGUAGACGAUCCUCAUUAUCCUUAUAGAGUCAGAGAGCGCCUCACUCCCCCCCUCUCUCCCUCAGAAGACCCUUACUACUAUAAUUACCCUCCACGCAGCCCUUCCCCUCCAUAUGGUCACAGACCCCCCCUUCACCCUCACAUGGACCUGCACCACCCUGACCACAUGCCCCUGCCUCCCCAUCCUCCACACCGUCCUCUCCACCCAGUUCACCAGCCACACCUGAGAGGCCUCCCGUGGGGUCCCCCACGCCCAACCCUCUGUGGCCCCAUGCUCAGGGGGAAACGGCCAGGGCCUCCUUUCGGGGGACACCUCAGAGGGGGACCAGGUGGUCCGUUCUUUCCCCCCAAAAGACCACACCUACCUCCGCGCUUCUGACUUGUCAACUGACUGGGGUGACAUCAAAUUACAGUGCUUAGGCUCCCGGAAUGUUAUUGUGGCAGGGGGCGCGACACAUCGAGGGUAGAAUAGGAGGAGAGAUAAGUUGGGAAGAAGCAGAAGAAUUGAGGUGUACUUUUCUCUGCUCCCCUUCUUGGUUUAAGAGGCCUGAGAGGAAGAGGGGAAUAGAUGAGUACAAUUGGAGGAGGAGUAAAUUGGGAGGAUCUAAAGGAAUGGAGGAGAGGAUUAGUGAAGACAUGGAUCUGGAGAAAGAGGGAAUGGAGAGGUCGGCCUGAACAACGAAGACACAGCGGAAUAGAAGAAAAUAAGAGUAACCUGGAUGACUCAUGGUGACCUGUGCGAGGAGUGGGAAACCGCUGGCGUGAGUGACAUACAAUACAACAAGCUCCAAGGGCCAGUACAUCAAGAGCCAGACUAGUGCACCAUUUUGGGCCAGUCACUGAGGAAGAAUCAGAGACAAGGACCAGUGGAUUGGAAUCCACUCCAGUUUUAAACAUUGAUGAAGAAAUAGUGAUGGCAAAUAUGCACUUCAUGAACAGGUAGAUCUGUUCAGCUCUUUUGAAGAGCAUGAAAGUGUCAGCCCCAGGAAUGUCCCAUCUGGCGUUUAUGUGGAUUUUGGAGCAGCGAACUGACUUCUUUGGCAGGAACGGAAUGAUCUGUGGGGACACUUUUCAAAAAAGCUUCUUUGAGUGGACGUACUGCCGCUCUGAAAUUGAUCAGGUCUGUGAUAUACAGGACUUUGACUGCCCAGCCUGUUCACCCAGCAUGCUUGCAGUGUCAGUGGACGGGAACAAGAAGCUGUAUCGAUUCAAAAAAGGGACUGAUGACAAAGAAUUCUUUGAUGGCGUAUUUAUCUGCAAGGAUGAGGAUGUGUCUGACUUUGUGAACUARGUCCAUACAAAGACUAAACAUGGUUAUGGAAAAGGGGUAUGUGGAGCAUCCCAGUGGACWGCAGCUYAAGAGUCGUCAAGGAAAACAAACGACAAACUUGAUGAAGAGGGACUCGAAGUUGCCGUCUGCCGCCYCGGAAUACUUCUAAGGAGCCUCAACAUGAUGCGUGGAGAGAUAUUUGCGUACCCACUGUUCUUGCAGAAGGAAUUGUCUGGCAGCAGGAACAUACAAUUKAUGUGUAKGGAUGUGAUCUGCAKAUUUUGGCCAUACCUGACCAAAGUUGCCCWUCAUUGUCCAGAGCUCGCCACUCUUCUAGACAUGAAGCCACUUCUUUCCGUCAUGCAUGCAAAGGCACAUCGUUUGAAAUGCGAGCAAGAACAGACAUGCUAACCAUCCAGGCCAUGGGGUGGAACAGAAGGAAGAAAAACAACCUGCACAGAGUAUUGUCCAGAAGAUACUUGAAGGGACAACAGCAAAAAUCCAGGAGGAGACCCAGACUCUCGAAAAGUUUAAGAGUGAUUCGGGUGUAGGUGAUGAGACUCUGUACAACUGGACAACGGAAGUUCAGCAAUGGGCUAAUACAG